rnacentral:rRNA from 1 species
UACGUAGGGGGCUAGCGUUGUCCGGAAUUAUUGGGCGUAAAGGGCUCGUAGGCGGUUUGUCGCGUCGGGAGUGAAAACUCAGGGCUUAACCCUGAGCCUGCUUCCGAUACGGGCAGACUAGAGGUAUGCAGGGGAGAACGGAAUUCCUGGUGUAGCGGUGAAAUGCGCAGAUAUCAGGAGGAACACCGGUGGCGAAGGCGGUUCUCUGGGCAUUACCUGACGCUGAGGAGCGAAAGUGUGGGGAGCGAACAGG